rnacentral:rRNA from 1 species
UACAGAGGUCUCAAGCGUUGUUCGGAUUCAUUGGGCGUAAAGGGUGUGUAGGUGGCGCCGUAAGUCGGGUGUGAAAUUUCGGAGCUUAACUCCGAAACUGCAUUCGAUACUGGCGGUGCUUGAGGACUGGAGAGGAGACUGGAAUUCAUGGUGUAGCAGUGAAAUGCGUAGAGAUCAUGAGGAAGACCAGUGGCGAAGGCGGGUCUCUGGACAGUUCCUGACACUGAGACACGAAGGCCAGGGGAGCAAACGGG